rnacentral:tRNA from 1 species
UUCCAGGUGCACCAUUGGUAGGUGGUCUCCCUGUUAAGGAGAUGUAUGUUGGUUCGAGUCCAACUCUGGGAGCCA